AGCGAACGCUGGCGGCAGGCCUAAUACAUGCAAGUCGAACGGUCUCUUCGGAGGCAGUGGCGGACGGGUGAGUAACGCGUGGGAACGUGCCCUUUGGUACGGAACAACUGAGGGAAACUUCAGCUAAUACCGUAUGUGCCCUUCGGGGAAAGGAUUUAUCGCCAUUGGAGCGGCCCGCGUUGGAUUAGCUAGUUGGUGGGGUAAGUGGCCCACCAAGGCGACGAUCCAUAGCUGGUCUGAGAGGAUGAUCAGCCACACUGGGACUGAGACACGGCCCAGACUCCUACGGGAGGCAGCAGUAGGGAAUCUUGCGCAAUGGGCGAAAGCCUGACGCAGCCAUGCCGCGUGAAUGAUGAAGGUCUUAGGAUUGUAAAAUUCUUUCACCGGGGACGAUAAUGACGGUACCCGGAGAAGAAGCCCCGGCUAACUUCGUGCCAGCAGCCGCGGU
rnacentral:rRNA from 1 species